rnacentral:rRNA from 1 species
AUUGAACGCUGGCGGCAGGCUUAACACAUGCAAGUCGAGCGGAGCGAGGGUGCUUGCACCUUAGCUUAGCGGCGGACGGGUGAGUAAUGCUUAGGAAUCUGCCUAUUAGUGGGGGACAACAUUCCGAAAGGGAUGCUAAUACCGCAUACGCCCUACGGGGAAAGCAGGGGAUCUUCGGACCUUGCGCUAAUAGAUGAGCCUAAGUCGGAUUAGCUAGUUGGUGGGUAAAGGCCUACCAAGGCGACGAUACAUAGCCGACCUGAGAGGGUGAUCGGCCACACUGGGACUGAGACACGGCCCAGACUCCUACGGGAGGCAGCAGUAGGGAAUCUUCGGCAAUGGACGGAAGUCUGACCGAGCAAACGCCGCGUGAGUGAAGAAGGUUUUCGGAUCGUAAAAGCUCUGUUGUAAAGAGAAGAACGAGUGUGAGAGUGGAAAGUUCACACUGUGACGGUAUCUUACCAGAAAGGGAACGGCUAACUACGUGCCAGCAGCCGCAGU